rnacentral:misc_RNA from 1 species
AUUAUGAAACCCUAGUAAACCAUCGCAUGUCUUCCUCCAAUGACCAACAUUGCUGAGUCCCUCUUCACCAUCUGAAAGCAAGCUCGCCACGACUCACUCCUCUGACUUGCUUGUCUUAUUCUCCGCCCAUCCUAAUGUUCAGGCCAUGUCCGGUAUCCUCCUCUGCAAGCACCUUCCACAGGUAGCUGCCAACGACUCGUUCCUCUGCCCAAAGCUCGCUGAAUCAACUGGAACCACCAGAGAGCUCAUCGGUCACAGAUUUCUUCAUCUCUAGAAAUUGGAUUAGGAAUUUCGACUCCCUCUUACCCCCUUCCCCUUAGAUACUCUAAUAAAACGACUAAUUAAAUUUUCCCAGCCACCAAACAUCUCUUUUUGCACUUUCACAUCAAUUUUUCUCUAGAAGUUAGUUGGGCAGUCGGAGAUUUCCUUAAACGAAGGGCAAUCAAGGAAGCCAGUCCCACAAAGGAUAUAUUAGUCUUUUUGCAAAGAAUUAAUAGAAAAUGAAUGGAACGACCAUUGAAUGAACGAAGGCAAAAAUUAAAGACAUUUUAACGAGUUUCAUUUUCAUCGAAACAGCAAAGACACGUGGCGAUCAGCUGAGGUGGAAGCGCAACACAAAGAGAAAAGGGGCGGUUACCGUCACCACCAGGAGUGGCGGCGCAUAUUAGCACUGACCCACUGCACUUUUUGGACUUUAUGGUGGGGAAUGUGAAUAAGCCAAAUUGACAGACCACAUCCACAUGUAUUUCAGAACCCACACAAAGGAAACCCUCUCCCUCUACAGCGCUUAUCACUACAUAAAAAAACGAAAAAAAAUCUACUUAUGAAUCUGUAUGCAAAACUAAUCAAAAUUUAAAUCCGUAUUUGCAGUGAUUGAUGAGAUUAUGCGAUCUGAUACAACUGUACAAUCUACACUCAAUUGUGCUGCCAAGGAUAGUGAAAUUGAAGUUGAAGGCAGUGUAAAGAAGAAAAGGCCCACUUAACCAACCAAACAUAAGGGGUUAUCCUCUUCUAGAUGAAGAGAAAUUAAUUUUUAGCAGCUACCAAGUCCACUCCUUUUUAAAAGAAAGAACCACCCCCAUUUAUAAAACUCAUUUUCUAUUCUACUACCCCAUCCUAAGACAAAGUCAGUGCUUCCAUUCUCUAUUAAAUAACCAAUUAAACCCUGUGACAACAAAAUUAAAAAAAAAAA